rnacentral:rRNA from 1 species
CGUACACUCCUGCGGGAGGCAGCAGUGGGGAAUAUUGGACAAUGGGCGCAAGCCUGAUCCAGCCAUGCCGCGUGAGUGAUGAAGGCCCUAGGGUUGUAAAGCUCUUUCACCGGUGAAGAUAAUGACGGUAACCGGAGAAGAAGCCCCGGCUAACUUCGUGCCAGCAGCCGCGGUAAUACGAAGGGGGCUAGCGUUGUUCGGAUUUACUGGGCGUAAAGCGCACGUAGGCGGACUAUUAAGUCAGGGGUGAAAUCCCGGGGCUCAACCCCGGAACUGCCUUUGAUACUGGUAGUCUUGAGUUCGAGAGAGGUGAGUGGAAUUCCGAGUGUAGAGGUGAAAUUCGUAGAUAUUCGGAGGAACACCAGUGGCGAAGGCGGCUCACUGGCUCGAUACUGACGCUGAGGUGCGAAAGCGUGGGGAGCAAACAGGAUUAGAAACCCCGGUAGUCC